AUAAAUAUAUUUUAGGGGGAAAAAAUCUCUAUUUUAUUCGCCUUGCCUCUUUUCUCUCCCUUUAUAAACAAUUCCUUCUCUAUUUAGCUCCAACUUCUCUCGAUUUUAUUCCAUCGAUUUCAAUGGUGGGCAGCUUCUCGAUCUCCAUUCGCAGUUGCAGCUAUUGAAGCUGCUAGCAGUUCUGGUAAUUUAGGGUUAAUUAAAAUCUAUAGAUUAGUGUGAGAAGCUUGUUCGGUCUUAACCAUUCUUCCAUUGGGCCACUACCAUCAAGACAUGAUGAGUUACUCUUAGAAGACAAUAGGUUCCGCUCACAAAUUUACCUCUGCAGUCAGGUCCCG